GUUUUGGUGGGUUUAUUGCAGAUGAUUUUUCUACUACUGAAUUUGGCACUUCAGUUCCUAUAUGUAUUUAGGAAUCAAACUUUUAGUUAUUGGUUAUCAUGAAUGGGUACUUGAGAGAAAAGUUUAAUCCUGAAGUCAUAACUAUUCGGUGUCAUAGCCAUUCAUACACUGCUUGGUUUUCACUGGCAGUUCUUGAUCCCCAUCCUGCCCUUCUUCAUGCUAUGUACUGAACUUGUAAGUGGAUAACAAGGGUGGCGUGAGAAUACAUACAAGCCUUCACAGAAUUAUAGUUGUGUUAUUUUUAUGCCAAUUUUUGGGACAAAGAUAAAUAUAUUCGAAAUUUUGCUUUCAGAUAUCUUUAUGGCAUUUUUAAAGAAUGUCCAAUGACAUACUUUAGCACAGGGCUCUAGUUGUCAAAAACUUCUGGUUAGUUCUUAAAGUAGGACUGAUGAUUGACCUAGUAGAACUGUUUCAGUGUUGCCAAUAUUCCAUUAAUGUUAUCUUUAAACCACUGUUGAAUUAAAGAAAUUUAAAGUGCCAGCAUAUUGGUAUUUUCAGUAAACAUUUCAUAAGAGUGAGGUAACUUCUCUGUAUGAGAGUAGAAAGACUGUAUAUCAUGGCUUUAUAGGAAGAAUGGUAAGCAUU
rnacentral:lncRNA from 1 species